UACGUAGGUGGCGAGCGUUGUCCGGAUUUACUGGGCGUAAAGGGAGCGUAGGCGGACUUUUAAGUGAGAUGUGAAAUACCCGGGCUCAACUUGGGUGCUGCAUUUCAAACUGGAAGUCUAGAGUGCAGGAGAGGAGAAUGGAAUUCCUAGUGUAGCGGAUGAAAUGCGUAGAAGAUUAGGAAGAACACCGUGGCGAAGGCGAUUCUCUGGACGUGUAACUGACGCUGAGGCUCGAAAGCGUGGGAGCAAACAGG
rnacentral:rRNA from 1 species